CCAAUAGCGUAUAUUAAAGUUGUUGCAGUUAAAAAGCUCGUAGUUGAAUUUCGGGGUUAGCAGGUCGGUCGUGCCACUGGUAUGCACUGGUCUCGCUGAUUCCUCCCUCUUGAUGAGCCGUAAUGUCAUUAAUUUGGUGUUGCGAGGAAUCAGGACUGUUACUUUGAAAAAAUUAGAGUGUUUAAAGCAGGCAAGCGCUUGAAUACAUUAGCAUGGAAUAAUGAAAUAGGACGUUUGAUCUUAUUUUGUUGGUUUCUAAGAUUGACGUAAUGAUUAAUAGGGAUAGUUGGGGGCAUUAGUAUUCAAUUGUCAGAGGUGAAAUUCUUGGAUUUAUUGAAGACUAACUACUGCGAAAGCAUUUGCCAAGGAUGUUUUCAUUAAUCAAGAACGAAAGUUAGGGGAUCGAAGACGAUCAGAUACCGUCGUAGUCUUAACCAUAAACUAUGCCGACUAGGGAUCGGAUGAUGUUAAUUUUUUAAUGACUCAUUCGGCGCCUUACG
rnacentral:rRNA from 1 species